rnacentral:rRNA from 1 species
UGUGCCCUACGGGAGGCAGCAGUCGGGAAUAUUGCACAAUGGAGGAAACUCUGAUGCAGUGACGCCGCGUGCAGGAAGAAGGUUUUCGGAUUGUAAACUGCCUUAGAUGGGGAAGAAGAAAGACUGUACCCAUAGAAUAAGCUCCGGCUAACUACGUGCCAGCAGCCGCGGUAAUACGUAGGGAGCAAGCGUUAUCCGGAUUUAUUGGGUGUAAAGGGUGCGUAGACGGGAAUUUAAGUUAGUUGUGAAAUCCCUCGGCUUAACUGAGGAACUGCAACUAAAACUGAAUUUCUUGAGUGCGGGAG